GAUUAACGCUGGCGGCAUGCCUAACACAUGCAAGUCGAGCGAGAAGCCUUGAACAGAUCCUUCGGGUGAAGUUCUCUGGUGGACAGCGGCGGACGGCUGAGUAACGCGUAGGUAACCUGCCUUAUGCUAAGGGAUAGCCUCGGGAAACCGGGAUUAAUACCUUAUAACCCUGUAAAUUCGCAUGUUUUUACAGGCAAAGAUUUAUCGGCAUAAGAUGGAACUGCGUCCAAUUAGCUAGUUGGUGAGGUAAUAGCUCACCAAGGCGACGAUUGGUAACCGACCUUAGAGGGUAAACGGUCAGAUUGGGACUGAGACACGGCCCAGACGCCUACGGGAGGCAGCAGUGGGGAAUAUUGCGCAAUGGACGAAAGUCUGACGCAGCAAUGCCGCGUGAACGAUGAAGGCCCUUCGGGUUGUAAAGUUCAGUACUAUGGGAAGAAUUUUGACGGUACCAUAGGUUAAGCCCCGGCUAAUUACGUGCCAGCCGCCGCGGUAACAC
rnacentral:rRNA from 1 species